AGUGUUAGAACCUACGAUGGUGGUGGAGAGGGAGUGUUUGCUUUUGUAUUUGCAUAUCCCUUAUAGAUAGAGUGUAAGUGUUUUCUGUUUUGUGUGUGAAACGAUGAUGUUCCUUUAAAUACAUUUGCCGAGAGUGACAUCCCCCAGCCUUUAAUGAGUUACGCUUGAAAUGGGUUUUGUGGUUAAUGCAUUAUGACUCAGUUAUUCUCGUGAUUGUCACCCACCGAGAGACUCGCCGAAAUGUUCAGAAGUAGAAGCUGGUUUGGAGGCGGCUUAUGGAAACCGAAAAAUCCACAUUCAUUGGAACAUCUUAAGUACCUGUACAAUGUUUUAUCUAAAAACCAAUCAGUGUCAGAAACAAAUAGAGGACUUCUUGUAGAAACAUUGAGGUCAAUUGCUGAAAUACUAAUAUGGGGUGACCAAAAUGACAGCAGUGUCUUUGACUUUUUCUUGGAAAAAAACAUGCUGUCUUUCUUUUUAAAAAUAAUGAAGCAAAAAUGUGGAAGCUAUGUUUGUGUGCAGCUACUGCAGACCUUAAAUAUUUUAUUUGAAAAUAUUCGAAAUGAAACGUCUUUGUAUUACCUCCUGAGCAAUAACCAUGUAAAUUCAAUUAUAGUUCACAAAUUUGAUUUCUCUGAUGAAGAAGUUAUGGCUUACUAUAUAUCAUUUCUGAAGACACUCUCAUUGAAACUAAAUGCUCAUACAGUACACUUUUUCUACAAUGAGCACACAAAUGAUUUCCCUUUGUACACUGAGGCAAUAAAAUUUUUCAACCACCCAGAGAGCAUGGUGCGUAUUGCAGUACGAACACUGACACUGAAUGUAUACAGGGUAGAAGACAGAUCAAUGCUCAAAUUUAUCCGAGACAAAACAGCUGCUCCAUAUUUUUCAAACCUUGUUUGGUUCAUUGGCAAUCACGUCCUAGAGCUUGAUAUAUGUGUUCGAAAUGAUGCUGAUCAUCAGAGUCAGAAUCGUCUAUCAGAUCUCGUUGCUGAACAUUUGGAUCAUUUGCAUUAUCUGAAUGAUAUUUUAUGUUUGGAUAUUGCUGACUUGAAUCAAGUCCUUACUGAUCAUCUACUGAAUAAACUACUUAUACCAUUAUAUGUGUAUUCCCUAACAAAACGAAGGAGGCAUUCACAGCUUGAGGAUACGAAGCCCCAUGUAAGCAGUGUUGUUUCAUUAUUCCUGUUGUCACAAGUUUUCCUUAUAAUCACUCACAAGCCACUGGUUCAAGUGUUAGCGUGGAUAAUACUCAAUGGUGACAUGGAAAUUUUUUCUCAAGGAGCUUCUGAUAAACUUGCAACUUAUAGACGGGCUCAGGUCACUGGAACGAUAAAACCUGGGUUUGUUCCACCAACAGAGACACUGGAAAAAUCUUUGGAAACAAGCGCACUUGAUAUUACAAAGGAAAGUGAUGCAUCGCCUGGUACUGAUGCUGUAUUGGGAACAAAUUCCUGUCUUGAAAAAAAAACUACAGAAAAUCAAGAGAGCAAUGACAAUACAUUGAGUGAGUAUCCUGAUGAUGAUUCUACUGACCUUAAUGUCAACAUAACAGAUGAAGAAAAAGAGCGCUUGGCACUAGAAACAUCAAAUCCACCAGUGACAGUGGCGGUGGCGGCAGCAGCACCACCACCGCCAACAGCGGUAUCCGAUAGCAUAACUGUGGCCCCAGUGCUGCCACAGCAGUCUCAAACACUCAGCAACAAACCAUUUUUGGAAAUGAUUUUCAACACCCUGCAGUGUUCAGAAAAUGAUUAUUCUGCUCUGUUUGCACUUUGUUUGCUGUAUGCAUUGGGCCACAAUCAAGGUGUAAAUGAAGAACUUAUUGACACGGUUCUGCUUCCUUCAGAGAAGCCAGAGACUCGACACUGGUACAAUGUUCUUCUAGUUGAGAAGCUCAUUAAAAUUAUAUCACAAGCUUGCCAGUCAAAUAGUCGAAUACGACUUGUGACAUUGGAACUUAGUAUUCGCUUACUAAUACAGCUAGUGAUGAAGAAUGGGCAAAGUUUCCUCCGUGAUGGUCACUUGGCGGCAAUUGAAGGAGCGAAAGAGGAAAGUGUUGCUCUCCUGAGAAAUUUUUAUAAGAGUGAAGAAAUAUUUCUCGAUAUGUUUGAAGAUGAAUACAAUGAAAUGAAGAAACGCCCACUGAAUGUAGAGUGGCUUAUGAUGGAUUCCAACAUUCUACUGCCACCAACAGGAACUCCUAUGACAGGAAUUGAAUUUAGCAAACGGUUACCAUGCGGAGAGGUUGAACGGGCAAGGCGGGCAAUAAGAGUGUUCUUCUUGGUCAGAGAUCUGUCAUUGACCCUUAGAGGGGAGCCUGAAACUCAGUUGCCUCUCACAAACCCACAGUCGUGUGUUCAAGUUGAUGUUGUUCUAGAUCUAAAUAACAGCGAUCUGAUUGCAUGCACUGUGGUUAACAAAGAAGGACACAAAAUUCGACGAUUUCUUGUUAUUGAUGUAAUGCAGUUUAUUCUUGUUGAACCUGACACAAGACGCCUUGGAUGGGGUGUUACAAAAUUUGUUGGUUUCCUUCAGGACAUAGAAGUUACAGGAGACAAAGAUGACUCCCGUUGUUUGCAUAUUACUGUUCACCGUCCACUUUCGAGUAGCUCUUCCAACCGUGUGCCACUGUUGUCAGCAAAGUUCAUAUUUGAUGAUCAUAUUAGAUGCAUGGCAGCUAAACAACGGCUAACAAAAGGACGUAUAAAAGCACGCCAGAAGAAAAUGCACAUGAUAGCCAGGCUUCUAGAUCUUCCCAGCAAUGUGUUGCCAUGUCCCUCUCCACCACCUUAUAAUCUCAUGGCACAGCGUGCAGCUGAAGCAUCAGCAAGUAAAGCGAGUAUCUUGUUGUGAACUUCCACCUGCAGGAGUAAGCCAUGGUGCUGUCAGGUCGAGAGAGGGCUCAAAUUCUCCUCGACUGCCAAGACCACGCAGUGAGGAAAUACCUCUUGAAGAUAUGAGUACAAAGAAAACUGGUAGAGGCACCAAUGGUGUUGCAGGAACAUCUGGGAGCAUAAAUCCACCAGUGAAGAUGAGGCACAAACCUUUACAUCAUAGAGAUGCAAUGUUUAGACCACCAAUGACCCCUUCUCCAGUACCACAGCA
rnacentral:misc_RNA from 1 species